UUAUAAGAUUAAGCCAUGCAUGUCUCAGUACUUGCUUUUACAAGGCGAAACCGCGAAUGGCUCAUUAAAUCAGUUAUGGUUCAAUUGAUCGUAAAUUAUACACGGAUAACUGUGGUAAUUCUAGAGCUAAUACGUGCAAAUAGCUCGGUCCCUUGUGGAACGGGCGCAGUUAUUAGAUCAAAACUAAUCCGGCCUUCGGGUCGGUAAAAUUGGUGACUCUGAAUAACCGAAGCGGAGCGCGUGGUCUCGUACCGGCGCCAGAUCUUUCAAGUGUCUGACUUAUCAGCUUGUUGUUAGGUUACGUUCCUAACAAGGCUUCAACGGGUAACGGGGUAUCAGGGUCCGAUACCGGAGAGGGAGCCUGAGAAACGGCUACCACAUCCAAG
rnacentral:rRNA from 1 species